UGGGGAAUAUUGGACAAUGGGCGAAAGCCUGAUCCAGCCAUGCCGCGUGAGUGAUGAAGGCCUUAGGGUUGUAAUGCUCUUUUGGCGGGGACGAUAAUGACGGUACCCGCAGAAUAAGCCCCGGCUAACUUCGUGCCAGCAGCCGCGGUAAUACGAAGGGGGCUAGCGUUGUUCGGAAUUACUGGGCGUAAAGCGCACGUAGGCGGAUCAGCAAGUCAGGGGUGAAAUCCCGGGGCUCAACCUCGGAACUGCCUCUGAUAUUGCUAGUCUAGAGUCCGGAAGAGGUGGGUGGAAUUCCUAGUGUAGAGGUGAAAUUCGCAGAUAUUAGGAAGAACACCGGUGGCGAAGGCGGCCCACUGGUCCGGUACUGACGCUGAGGUGCGAAAGCGUGGGGAGCAAACAGGAUUAGAUACCCCCGUAGUCCCUGAGCGGGCUGGCAAGGCGCAU
rnacentral:rRNA from 1 species